AGGCAAAGGAAAGAAUAUGGAGAAUGUAACUCAAAGUGGAACAUUGUCUUAGCACCACCCCCAUCAAAUAUACCCAUAGAUUCUUCUUUCUUCUUCUACCAAUGUGUUCUUUAGCAACUUCUAUGUAUUGGCAACUGUAGACUACAGGGAUUUUUAAAAAAUGUAUCCCCAAAUGUCUCCAAACAUCCUCUAAGGCAGUGGUUCUCAAACUUUGGUUCUCCAGGUGUUUUGGACUUUAGUUCCCAGAAGCCUCAACAAUGCAUGCUUGGCCAUCACUCAGGAUAUCUAUGAUCCAAACUCAGGCUGCUUUAGACCAAACCAGAAAUCUUGUUACAGUAGAGUCUCACUUAUCCAAGACUCGCUUAUCCAAGGUUCUGGAUUAUCCAAUGCAUUUUUGUAGUCAAUGUUUUCAAUACAUCGUGAUAUUUUGGUGCUAAAUUCGUAAAUACAGUAAUUACUACAUAGCAUUACUGUGUGUUUUUUCCGUCAAAUUUGUUGUAUAACAUGAUGUUUUGGUGCUUAAUUUGUAAAAUCUCAACCUAAUUUGAUGUUUAAUAGGCUUUUCCUUAAUCCCUCCUUAUUGUCCAAGAUAUUCGCUUAUCCAAGGUUCUGCCAGGCCAUUUAGCUUGGAUAAGUGAGACUCUACUGUAAUUUAUGUAAAGCAAAUGCACUAAUGUUUUCACCCAGCAGGUGGCAACAUUCAUCCAGUUUACAUUAUUCUAACUGAAAUAAAGCUUGGGAAAGUCUUCUCUUAUGGGUUACCUACUUACUUACUGAGGUAUGGAGAAACCUCACAACCUCUGAGGAUGCCUGCCAUAGAUGUGGGCAAAACGUCAGGAGAGAAUACUUCUGGAACAUGGCCAUACAGCCCGGAAAACAUACAACAACCCUGUGAUCCCAGCCAUGAAAGCCUUCGACAACUCUUUGAUGGUUGUAGCCAGUGUUCUUUUCUGCAUCCCAUUUCACUCUGAUUCUACCCCACAAAUACGUGAUUGUAUGAGGGUUGAAUGAAAAGUAAUGCCUCCACCUUCGUAACUCCUCAACAGAUGGCAGUCCUGGUCUGUGGCAGGUACUGGAUUAUUCAGUAGACUCUCUUCUACAGUUCCAUUUGGCGGGAAGCCUUAGCAUUGAAUGGUUGUGCCAAGUAUGGAACCCUGCGCAGACGGUCGGUCAAUGUGACUUAAGCAACGUGCAGUCACUGAAUUCUUGACAGCAGAAGGCGUCACCCCAAAGGAGAUUCAUCAGAGAAUACAAGCUGUUUAUGGUGAUUGUAUUGAUGUGAGUACGGGUGAGUAAGUUUAAAGAUGUUGAUGUCCGAAAGGAAAAGGGAAAUGUUUUUCUGCAGCAUGACAAUGCCAAACCACACACUUCACAUACCACUAUAGCAGAACUUCAGAGACUGGAUCUCACCACAGUACAGCAACCUCCAUACAGUCCAGAUUUAGCACCAUCUGAUUUCCAUCUGUUCCCAAUAAUGAAAGAAGAUCUGCGGGACAUCAUUAUGCUUCUGAUGAAGACGUUGAGAGAACUGUGAGACGCUGGUUGCGGAAACAGAGUGUUGACUUCUUCCAUGACGACUUCAGAAAACGUGUUCAUCGUUGGCAGAAAUGUAUCCAAUUGCCUGCUGGUGAUGUGGAAAAGUGAAUAGCGGUAGUUAAAGAGCACCUUCUAAGGAUUAUUUCUGCAUUUGAUUUAUUAAAAUAUUCCCAUCCAAACUCAAGUAAUGAAAGUGGAAGCAUUACUUUUCAUGCAACCCUCGUAUUAUUUGAUAAUUUGAUAUAAAAAAUAGUCCCUCUAGGAAUAUCUCGGUCGUCUACUUCACUUUUACAGUCAACUUCCCAUAAAGAGGACUCUUCUGUGUUUGUGUGUGUGUAUAUAUAUUACUGAGUUACUAGGAAAUCUUUCAAACAUUACUUUUGUUAUUGGCACAACUAUAGAUCUCUGUUCUCAUUGAGCAUAGAGAAGUUUUAAAAUGUCCUUUUCCCAAGCUGUGCAAUUAUUGUUGGCAGCUGGCACAGGGUUCCUACAGUCUGAAGUCUGUAGGAUGACACUCCUUGGCAGCCAAAAGAUUAAUGCAUGGAGGUUGAUUAACGCAUGAUAUAUUGGCUGAAUCCUUCUAGACUAAGGGUCAAAGGCCUGGGUGGAGUUAGAGUCUUCUGAGAAAGCCUUUAUCUGAAAAGCCUCAUGCACAGUUCAUUUGUAUUAUCAAAGAGAAUUGGUUUUUGUAGAACUAAGUCAGCAAGUCCCAUCCUCACAAUGGUAUGGCAAUAGAGAUUCUAGAAACUGCCUGUCUGAUUCAGGGCACCACAAUUUAAAAGAGGAGAACGGUGACUAACAUGAUCAAAGAUCUGGAGACCAUGUCCUACGAGAAGUACUUUAAGAGCUGGUUAUGCUUAACCUGUAGA
rnacentral:lncRNA from 1 species